rnacentral:rRNA from 1 species
GGCUCAGAACGAACGCUGGCGUCAGGCCUAACACAUGCAAGUCGAACGGUAACAGGAAGAAGCUUGCUUCUUUGCUGACGAGUGGCGGACGGGUGAGUAAUGUCUGGGAAACUGCCUGAUGGAGGGGGAUAACUACUGGAAACGGUAGCUAAUACCGCAUAACGUCUCAAGACCAAAGAGGGGGACCUUCGGGUCUCUUGCCAUCGGAUGUGCCCAGAUGGGAUUAGCUAGUAGGUGGGGUAACGGCUCACCUACGCGACGAUCCCUAGCUGGUCUGACAGGAUGACCAGCCACACUGGAACUGAAACACGGUCCACACUCCUACGGGAGGCAGCAGUGGG